rnacentral:misc_RNA from 1 species
UCCCGGUGAAUCACAGGAGGAACUGCCCCAUCAUGAAGAUACUCCAAACCCCUUGCUACAUCUAAGGCAAUAUAAACCCUCAAAUCCCAGCUCAAUGGUUCAUGGCUUUCACUGUACAAAUGAGAAGCCAAGCAGCCUUUACUCAUAUAGACAUAUACAAGCAUAUGUUGGCCCUUUUCUGCACAAUAUCCAACCAAAUUCACCAGGUUUCUAUGAUGCAACC